GCUGUGACAGAUUUAGUUCACUGACUUGUAGGUGGCAGGAGAAAUAAUUACAUAUGCAUGCAAACAAUCUAUAUUUUUAAUGUGGUGUUGAGUUUUAAGAAGGUCAGUCUGGAAUAAAACACCUCAAGGCUAAAAAGAAGAUCAGCAUUACAUGUACAUACACACACACAAAGACACACACACACCCCUUCACCCUUCAAAUGUCACAUUAGAAUCGACAUCUUUAGAUUUUUUACCAAGUUAUACAUUUCUAAAGUGACUUUUCCAGCAAAAAUCACUCUGAUGGACAGGUCACACAGCAAGUUAGUUUAUGAAACCUCUAAUCCACCACACUGUAACAACCAGGGUAAAGGUAGCUGGGUAAUUAGUUCCCCCACCACAAGUUAAAAACAAAAGUUAAACGAAUGAAAAACAUUGUGUAUUCAUCAGCAUUGAGCCAAAUAAAGCUGCUGUGGUAGAGAGUGUGCAAAGAGGGCAAUAAGAAUUCCUCCCAUCCCUCUACACACAUCCCCUUGCCAUGGGAUUACACCACUCCUCCCAGUAAGUGAGGAAAUCCACUUCCCUUCCCCUGGAAUCUGAGCCUCCUUUGUGAUGCGCUCUGACCAACUGAAGGAGGUGGAGUGGUGCUUCAAGCCUGGGCCUCAAGAGUCCUUGCAGCUCCCUGCCAGCUAUGUUGGAACGCUGCUGCAGCCAAGACACAAAGUAAGGCGAGCCUCCUUGAGAAAGAGGAAUCAGUGGAAAGAGAGGGCCAGCCAACAGCCAGCAACAACCAGCAUGCAUGCGAGCGAGACUGUCUUAAAAUAGGUAGCCCCAGCCCAGCUGGCCACGGGACUGGCCCUAAGCGAGACCAGAACUGCCCAGCCGAGCCAAACUCAAAUGGCCAACCCACAGAAUUAUAUUGUAUGGAUUUAAUUCAGCAAGUGAGAUACUCACCGUUCUAAAAGGAAGAGUUUAUGGAGGCCUCAUCCAAUCAGUUGAAGGCCUUAAGAGAAAAAACUGAAGCUUUCCAGAAAAGGAGGAAUUCUGCCUCAACACUGCAGCAUUAACUUCUGCCUGAGUUUCUACCCUACUGGCGUGUUCUACAUAUUUUGGACUUGUCAGAGCCCACAAUCAUGUGCACCAAUUCCUUAAAAUAAAACU